rnacentral:rRNA from 1 species
UAGGGAAUCUUCGGCAAUGGGGGGAACCCUGACCGAGCAACGCCGCGUGAGUGAAGAAGGUUUUCGGAUCGUAAAGCUCUGUUGUUAAGGAAGAACGAGUGUGAGAAUGGAAAGUUCAUACUGUGACGGUACUUAACCAGAAAGGGACGGCUAACUACGUGCCAGCAGCCGCGGUAAUACGUAGGUCCCGAGUGUUGUCCGGAUUUAUUGGGCGUAAAGCGAGCGCAGGCGGUUAGAUAAGUCUGAAGUUAAAGGCAGUGGCUCUACCAUUGUAGGCUUUGGAAACUGUUUAACUUGAGUGCAGAAGGGGAGAGUGGAAUUCCAUGUGUAGCGGUGAAAUGCGUAGAUAUAUGGAGGAACACCGGUGGCGAAAGCGGCUCUCUGGUCUGUAACUGACGCUGAGGCUCGAAAGCGUGGGGAGCGAACAGG